UACGUAGGGUCCAAGCGUUAUCCGGAAUCACUGGGCGUAAAGCGUGCGUAGGUGGCGCGUUAAGUGUGAUGUUAAAUCGUGUGGCUCAACCAUAUCGAUGCAUCGCAUACUGGCGUGCUAGAGGACAGCAGAGGCAAGUGGAAUUUGUAGUGUAGCAGUGAAAUGCGUAGAUAUUACAAGGAACACCCGUGGCGAAGGCGGCUCUCUGGGACGGUACUGACGCUGAGACGCGAAAGCGUGGGGAGCGAACAGG
rnacentral:rRNA from 1 species